rnacentral:rRNA from 1 species
GACGAACGCUGGCGGCGUGCUUAACACAUGCAAGUCGAACGGAAAGGCCCUGCUUUUGUGGGGUGCUCGAGUGGCGAACGGGUGAGUAACACGUGAGUAACCUGCCCUUGACUUUGGGAUAACUUCAGGAAACUGGGGCUAAUACCGGAUAGGAGCUCCUGCUGCAUGGUGGGGGUUGGAAAGUUUCGGCGGUUGGGGAUGGACUCGCGGCUUAUCAGCUUGUUGGUGGGGUAGUGGCUUACCAAGGCUUUGACGGGUAGCCGGCCUGGGAGGGUGACCGGCGACAUUGGGACUGAGGGACGGCCCAGACGCCUACGGGAGGCAGCAGUGGGGAAUAUUGCACAAUGGGCGGAAGCCUGAUGCAGCAACGCCGCGUGCGGGAUGACGGCCUUCGGGGUGUAAACCGCUUUCGCAUGUGACGAAGCGUGAGUGACGGUAAUGGGUAAAGAAGCACCGGCUAACUACGUG